rnacentral:lncRNA from 1 species
AAACCGGCGGUGACUUUGAGAAAAAUCAAACGGAAGAAAUUUUUUGGCUCCAUGUGUUGUUUUUUGUUUCUUUAGUGAGAUAGAUCAAAGUAGCCAUCGCAUUAUAUAGAAGAAAAAAAGGAAACACGUGAGCUUAGUUAAUUACGUCACUGAUCACCAGUAUUGUAAAUAGACAAAUCGUCCAAAAGAUAAAAUAUCGAACCCCUAGGAAGUAGGAUCUUAUCUUUGAC